GGUGCGAGUGGACUUCCUGGUGGUAAAGGCACCGUCCGCCUAUAACGCAAUACUCGACCGACCCAGCCUUAACGCCCUCCGAGCUGUGGUGUCGACCUACCAUUUAAAGUUGAAAUUUCCUACGGGUUAGGGGGUUGGAGAGGUCAGAGGAGAUCAAGCCUUGGCGAGACACUGCUACAGCAUAGCCUUGCAAAGAAGUGAUCGAUCUG
rnacentral:lncRNA from 1 species